GACACUUUGGCGGAGUGGUUAACGCGAUGCCCUGCUAUCCUCUAGUCUAGGCAUUUCCUUCGGGGUAUGUGAAUUCCUGGCUCAAGUGGUCAACCAAAAACUAACUCUCACCUAGAGCGCAGGUUCGAAUCCUGCAGGUGUCG